GGGGGGACCGCCAGAUCUUGGGCUGUGUCCCUCCGUACCCUGGGCUCCAGGGCCUGCACCACUGGAAUCGCACUCUGGGGCAGCACAGCACCCU
rnacentral:pre_miRNA from 1 species